GAUGAAGAACGUAGUGAAAUGCGAUAAGUAGUGUGAAUUGCAGAAUUCAGUGAAUCAUCGAAUCUUUGAACGCACAUUGCGCCCUUUGGUAUUCCAAAGGGCAUGCCUGUUCGUGCGUCAUUUGUACCCUCAAGCUUUGCUUGGUGUUGGGCGUCUUGUCUCCAGUCCGCUGGAGACUCGCCUUAAAGUCAUUGGCAGCCGGCCUACUGGUUUCGGAGCGCAGCACAAGUCGCACUCUUUUCCAGCCAAGGUCAGUGUCCAACAAGCCUUUUUUCAACUUUUGACCUCGGAUCAGGUAGGGAUACCCGCUGAACUUAAGCAUAUCAAUAAGCGGAGGA
rnacentral:misc_RNA from 1 species